rnacentral:RNase_P_RNA from 1 species
UAAGCAGGCAGAGAUGGUCACUCCGCCACAUUUUGUGACGGGGAGGAAAGUCCGGGCUCCCCAGGGCAGCGUGCUGGAUAAUCUCCAGGCUUAAGGGACUAUAUUUCCUUAAGACGGAAAGUGCCACAGAAAAUAGACCGCCUGCCACAAAACUUGGCGAGGUAAGGGUGAAAAGGUGGCGUAAGAGACCACCGCUCUUGUGGUGACACAAGAGGCAGGGUAAACCCCACGCGGAGCAAGACCAAAUAAGAGAGAAGUAAUGUGCCCGUUACGCUCUUACUCUCGGGU